rnacentral:rRNA from 1 species
CGAACGCUGGCGGCAUGCCUAACACAUGCAAGUCGAACGAGACCUUCGGGUCUAGUGGCGCACGGGUGCGUAACGCGUGGGAAUCUGCCCCUCGGUUCGGAAUAACAGUUAGAAAUGACUGCUAAUACCGGAUGAUGACGAAAGUCCAAAGAUUUAUCGCCGAGGGAUGAGCCCGCGUAAGAUUAGCUAGUUGGUAGGGUAAAGGCCUACCAAGGCGACGAUCUUUAGCUGGUCUGAGAGGAUGAUCAGCCACACUGGGACUGAGACACGGCCCAGACUCCGACGGGAGGCAGCAGUGGGGAAUAUUGGACAAUGGGCGAAAGCCUGAUCCAGCAAUGCCGCGUGAGUGAAGAAGGCCUUCGGGUUGUAAAGCUCUUUUACCCGGGAAGAUAAUGACUGUACCGGGAGAAUAAGCCCCGGCUAACUCCGU